UCGACGGAGUUACGGUGAACCUAGUGAUCUGUAACUUAGUGGCGGUACGGGUGAGUAACGCGUGGGUAACCUGCCUUGUACUGGGGGAUAACACCUGGAAACAGGUGCUAAUACCGCAUAAGCGCACGGAGCCGCAUGGCUCAGUGUGAAAAACUCCGGUGGUACAAGAUGGACCCGCGUCUGAUUAGCCAGUUGGGGGGGUAACGGCCCACCAAAGCGACGAUCAGUAGCCGGCCUGAGAGGGUGAACGGCCACAUUGGGACUGAGACACGGCCCAAACUCCUACGGGAGGCAGCAGUGGGGAAUAUUGCACAAUGGGGGAAACCCUGAUGCAGCAACGCCGCGUGAGUGAAGAAGUGAUUCGUUAUGUAAAGCUCUAUCAGCAGGGAAGAAAAUGACGGUACCUGAGUAAGCAGCCCCGGCUAACUACGUGCCAGCAGCCGCGGUAAUACGUAGGGGGCAAGCGUUAUCCGGAUUUACUGGGUGUAAAGGGAGCGUAGACGGUUAUGCAAGUCUGAAGUGAAAUGCCAGUGCUCAACACUGGAACUGCUUUGGAAACUGUGUAACUGGAGUGCAGGAGAGGUAAGUGGAAUUCCUAGUGUAGCGGUGAAAUGCGUAGAUAUUAGGAGGAACACCAGUGGCAAAGGCGGCUUACUGGACUGUAAAUGACGCUGAGGCUCGAAAGCGUGNGGAGCAAACAGGA
rnacentral:rRNA from 1 species